CCAGCUCGGACUAGCUUAGAAGAGUCAACUGUGCACGAUGCUUUUCAACUCUGUCUUCAGGGACUUCAGGAGCACUGCUUAAAACCGGCCUUGGUGAGGAGGGAUUUAUUUCAUUUGCUCCUGAAGUUAAAUCUCAUGAAAUCAUGUGAAAUUCAGUGAUGUGUUACUGGGAACAAAAAGGGUUACGUUAUUAAUUGUGAUGCCUUCCCACAAGAGCUGUGUCUGUACUGUGCCACAUAACCCCUGAAGCUGAAUAAAGAACUUUCUCCUUGAUUCCCCCAGCCCUCCAAAAACAUCAGGUGAUGAGGUCCCAUUGUAAAUGACCCAAGGACAAACAGCUCAUGACUUCAAAGGAGGCCUCUUCAACCCAGGGCAAAUUCAGGCCUUCAUUCCAGGGGUCUGUAAGCAAGUACUGAGUGAAGAGAUAUCCUAAAAUCAAUCGUUCCUCUUUGCCAACCCUGGAUAAUGGCAACAACUUCUUUAGUGGCAUGCUGCAUGCUCUGUUUGGUCAUGUCCAGAGAUACCCAAGAUAAAGAAGUUUGAUAAAUAUACACAUUAACUCAGCAAAAAUAACAUGGUUAUUUUCAUGAAUAUUGCACUUGGGCACAUCAGCAAAAUUCAAAAGUGAUAAAAGAAAAAUUGUUGCCUGUCAAAAAG
rnacentral:lncRNA from 10 species